UGGUGAAAUCAUACAAGGAUAGUUAUGGUUCCUGCCUGUCUCAUUCCUAGAGGCUCCAUCCAAGACUGUGAUGGCCUCUAUGUCCAGAAGGUCAGAAGUUACCUCAGCCCGCUCCAGGGACACACGGAGGCCAUAGCAUAACGUGGGGCCCAAAGCCAUCUGUUCACAGCAGUGAUACUGACGUAUGGAAUCUGAGGAGCAUUUUGAGAAGCUCUUUUGGUGCAGGUUUUUCAAGCCUCAUCAUUGCAGUAACUCUGGAGCUAUGUUAAGAAACCCAAAAGAGGCAAAAAGAGUAAUGAGAGCCAAGAGGGGUGCCAAGAGAUUCAGGUUUCAUGUGUGACAUUUGAAACAAAAGAUUGGGAAGCGACCUGGAGAAAUUUCCUGAUUUGGUAUUUAGCUGUUCACUGGCCUUGACCUCUGGCCUUGGCCAUGAGGAAAUGGUUAAAGUCAUUGACAAAGAAAAGAGAGCAGAGAAUGGUGUGUGUGUGUGUGUGUGUGUGUGUGUGUGUGUGUGUGUGUGUCUGUGUCCUGCCUCAUAGCCGUUGAUGAAGAUUUUCUCCUUGACUAAACACCAGCCAAGCUCCUCUGAGUCCUCUUCUCAACUAACCCUCAACCUUGGCCUAAAACCACAAAAUGUCAGCAUAAACAAUUUCAUCCACCCCUGUCCCCCACUUUAAAAGACAUGAACAAAUACUAACAUAGUUUCUAACAGCUCAAGGGCAUAUCCUUAGGAUGAUGACUCCAGCGCCAUAAGUUCCUGACUGAGAAAGCUCAGGGUUGCAAAACAAUUUACUGUUUUGUACCAGCCAACACCUGAAUAGGGUCCCUGUCUCCCAGUCUUGGAGGGGGAGUAGGAAUCUAACUUUGAUAAAUGCCAGUUUGCAAACCAAGGUAGCUCCACAUGGACCAACCCCACUUUCUCACAUUUUGUAAAUGUCCACUUCCCUGAUUCUGCUCAAGCCCCUGCUGUUCCCUGUCCCUAGCUCCUCAUCCUUCCUCUAUAAGGCCUAGCCACCUCUGCACAAAUCGUAGUUCAGUUCAGUUCACACUGGACCUACUUCUCUAUUGCAAUUAUUUAUGACUAAUGAAAAUUUGUCUUUACCACUUCCCUCGGUGUCUGGUUUUCUUUAUCUUUGACAGCACCUUCAGCAAUACACAUUCUGAUAUCCUGGGGGAUCUGAUUUUUGAGGCUGAUGAGGCACUUAGUAGGGUAACUAUUUCCAGGAAAAGCUCAGUGAGCAAGAAGAGGAUGAAAACCAACCAGGCAAUGGUUGGAGGAAAGCGCGGCUCAGAUGAAAACAUUAGGAGUGACAUUUUUUAAAGAAAGAAUAUUUCUAAUAGAAAAAGCAUUUGGAUCCUCAGUUAAACAAUUUCGAAGAAAUAUUCCUCAUGGCAAGGAGUUUUAAAUAGAAGAACGUUCUGGUCCCCUAAACUUACUCUCUUGCCUUCUCUCCUUUCUGAUUAAAAAAUUUACUGUUUCUAAACCUUCCUUUUUUCUACCUAUAAAACAUACAAAUUUUAUUAAAAUGAGUCACAUGAGUUUCUAUACACAAGAAAAUGUUAAUGUAAGAAAAAUUAUUAUAUUAUUUGAUUUAGGGAAUUGACUUAAUUUAUACAAUCUGAAUUAUUUUUAUUCUUUAUCCAUGUUCUGGCCUUUAACAACAUUUGUUUCCUUGAUAUAGUUCCUUGUUAUAUAGUUUUGUAAUUUAACUUUAUGUCUUAAAGGUCCAGAAAGCAAACUUAGAUUAAGACAAAUAAAAUAAAACAGACAGUAGAGAUAUCAAUAGAUUUACUUAGAUCCAUUCACUUAACAUCAAUGCAUAACACAUUCCAAAAGCGAG
rnacentral:lncRNA from 10 species